UGGGGAAUUUUGGACAAUGGGCGAAAGCCUGAUCCAGCAAUGCCGCGUGUGUGAAGAAGGCCUUCGGGUUGUAAAGCACUUUUGUCCGGAAAGAAAUCCUUGGCUCUAAUACAGUCGGGGGAUGACGGUACCGGAAGAAUAAGCACCGGCUAACUACGUGCCAGCAGCCGCGGUAAUACGUAGGGUGCAAGCGUUAAUCGGAAUUACUGGGCGUAAAGCGUGCGCAGGCGGUUUGCUAAGACCGAUGUGAAAUCCCCGGGCUCAACCUGGGAACUGCAUUGGUGACUGGCAGGCUAGAGUAUGGCAGAGGGGGGUAGAAUUCCACGUGUAGCAGUGAAAUGCGUAGAGAUGUGGAGGAAUACCGAUGGCGAAGGCAGCCCCCCUGGGCCAAUACUGACGCUCAUGCACGAAAGCGUGGGGAGCAAACAGGAUUAGAUACCCUGGUAGUCCACGCCCUAAAACGAUGUCAACUAGUUGUUGGGGAUUCAUUUCCUUAGUAACGUAGCUAACGCGUGAAGUUGACCGCCUGGGGAGUACGGUCGCAAGAUUAAAACUCAAAUGAAUUGACGGGGUCAUAGCUGUUU
rnacentral:rRNA from 1 species